rnacentral:tRNA from 1 species
AGUCCCGUAGUUUAAUAGUUAGAACGUUGGAGUAUUAUUUUUAAUUAUCCGCCUAUUAUCUUUUAAAUAUAUUUAUUAGUAUAAUUAGCGGAUUAUUUUUAAAUAAUAUACUUAAAGGUUGUAGGUUCGAAUCCUACCGGGACUA